CCUACGGGUGGCAGCAGUGAGGAAUAUUGGUCAAUGGACGAGAGUCUGAACCAGCCAAGUAGCGUGAAGGAUGACUGCCCUAUGGGUUGUAAACUUCUUUUAUAUGGGAAUAAAAUGUUCCACGUGUGGGAUUUUGUAUGUAACAUAUGAAUAAGGAUCGGCUAACUCCGUGCCAGCAGCCGCGGUAAUACGGAGGAUCCGAGCGUUAUCCGGAUUUAUUGGGUUUAAAGGGAGCGUAGGUGGAUUGUUAAGUCAGUUGUGAAAGUUUGCGGCUCAACCGUAAAAUUGCAGUUGAUACUGGCAGUCUUGAGUACAGUAGAGGUGGGCGGAAUUCGUGGUGUAGCGGUGAAAUGCUUAGAUAUCACGAAGAACUCCGAUUGCGAAGGCAGUUCACUGGACUGCAACUGACACUGAGGCUCGAAAGUGUGGGUAUCAAACAGGAUUAGAUACCCCAGUAGUC
rnacentral:rRNA from 1 species